GGAAGGAAUAAAAGAACUCUGGUUGCUAGGUAACUUGAGUAUGCUGGUAGUUCACAGAUGUCAUCCCACGUGACAUGUGACCAGAGGCUUAGGAGUAUAGCUAAGCAUAAUGACAAUGAUUUAUUAGCUUUACAAAAACUAGAAUACUUUUGUAAGAAAUAGCAUGCUCUUUCCUCUAUUUCUUUCUCUGAAAGCCACAGCAAUCAACAGAGAGAACAAAAAGUAUAGAACUCACAUUUUCAAGAAAUAAGGAAUUGGCUAAACCUCUAGAAUACAGCCUUUCAAGAAGACAGCCAAAUAUGAUGUACCUUGGGCCAAAUGAAGGGAAUCAUUAACAGCCAGGGUGCAGUUCCAGGUUGGCCAGAAGGAAGUGUCAGCAAAGAAGGUGCCUUGGACAGUGAGGUUACUGAAAAUAUUAAAAAGAAG
rnacentral:lncRNA from 1 species